rnacentral:rRNA from 1 species
AGGGUUUGAUUAUGGCUCAGAACGUACGCUGGCGGCACGCCUAAUACAUGCAAGUCGAACGAAGUAGCAAUACUUAGUGGCAGACGGGUGAGUAACAUGUGGGUAUCUUCCCUUUGGUGAGGAAUAACACGAGGAAACUUGUGCUAAUACCUCAUAAGUCUUUACGGAGAAAGCUUUAUGCGCCAUUGGAUGAGCCCGCACUUGAUUAGUUUGUUGGUGGGGUAAAGGCCUACCAAGACUAUGAUCAAUAGCUGAUUUGAGAGGAUGAUCAGCCACAUUGGGACUGAGACACGGCUCAAACUCCUACGGGAGGCAGCAGUAGGGAAUCUUGCACAAUGGAGGAAACUCUGAUGCAGCGAUGCCGCGUGAGUGAAGAAGGCCUUUGGGUUGUAAAGCUCUUUCGUCGGGGAAGAAAAUGACUGUACCCGAAUAAGAAGGUCCGGCUAACUUCGUGCCAGCAGCCGCGGUAAUACGAAGGGACCU